GNUNNAAUUACGGGUACGGGGAUUAGGGUUCGAUUCCGGAGAGGGAGCCUGAGAAACGGCUACCACAUCCAAGGAAGGCAGCAGGCGCGCAAAUUACCCAAUCCCGACACGGGGAGGUAGUGACAAUAAAUAACAAUACAGGGCUCUUUCGGGUCUUGUAAUUGGAAUGAGUACAAUUUAAAUCCCUUAACGAGGAACAAUUGGAGGGCAAGUCUGGUGCCAGCAGCCGCGGUAAUUCCAGCUCCAAUAGCGUAUAUUAAAGUUGUUGCAGUUAAAAAGCUCGUAGUUGAAUUUCGGGGUUCYACCGUUGGUCGGGCUAUUGUCUGUACUGGCGUGURGAAUUUCUACCUUCUGGGGAACUAUCAUGUUAUUAAUUUAGCGUGGUAGGAAACCAGGACCUUUACCUUGAAAAAAUUAGAGUGUUCAAAGCAGGCUUAUGUCUGAAUACAUUAGCAUGGAAUAAUAAAAUAGGACGGUGGUCCUGUUUUGUUGGUUUCUGAAUCACCGUAAUGAUUAAUAGGGAUAGUUGGGGGCAUUAGUAUUCAAUUGUCAGAGGUGAAAUUCUUGGAUUUAUUGAAGACUAACUACUGCGAAAGCAUUUGCCAAGGAUGUUUUCAUUAAUCAAGAACGAAAGUUAGGGGAUCGAAGACGAUCAGAUACCGUCGUAGUCUUAACCAUAAACUAUGCCGACUAGGGAUCGGACGAUGUUAACUUUUCUUGACUCGUUCGCGCCUUACGGGAAACCAAUUUUUNGGGUNUCA
rnacentral:rRNA from 1 species